rnacentral:RNase_P_RNA from 1 species
CAAGUUGACCGGGUGGUCGCGGCUUCUCGUUUCCCUUUGCGGAAGCGGUGAGGUCGAGGAAAGUCCGCACUCCGCGGAGCAUGGCGCCGGCUAACGGCCGGACGGGGCGACCCGAUGGAAUAGUGCAACAGAGAGGUGUAUUGCCCGGCCUCCGGGCUGGGCGAGGGUGAAACGGUGGUGUAAGAGACCACCGGUGGUGGCAGUAAUGUCGCCAGCCAGGUAAACCCCGCCAGGAGCAAGGCCAAGCAGGAUGAAAAUGGGGCGGCGGCAUGUCCGCCGCGUCCGUUACGGGGCUGCUCGUUCCGUCUGACAUCCGGGUAGGCCGCCAGAGAGCGCCAGCAAUGGCGUUCCCAGACAGAUGAUCACCACUUGCUGCCGGCAUUUGCCGCGGCAGGUACAGAAUGCGGCUUACAGGUCAACUUGACUU